GCCGGACUUGUUCAGCUCCCCGGCCGGCGGUUGUUCAUCCAAAAUGCCGACCACUCUCGGACCCUUAAUCUUCUCCGGCGAAAGCUUCGACAAAGUCACCUUAAGAACCCCAUUCUGAAGCUGAGCUUUAACAGAUUCCAUAUCCGCAUUACUGGGCAGUCGAAACUGCCUCCAGAAUUUUCCAUAGCUUCGUUCCAAUCUAUGCCAAUGCUCACUCUGUUUCUCCUCUUCCCUUUUCCUCUCUCCGAUCACUUUCAGAAUCCUGUUUUCCUCGUCCAAUUCGAUCUUCAUCUCCUCCUUGUUCAUUCCU
rnacentral:misc_RNA from 1 species